rnacentral:rRNA from 1 species
UGGUGGCGAGCGGCGGACGGGUGAGUAAUGCCUAGGAAUCUGCCUGGUAGUGGGGGAUAACGCUCGGAAACGGACGCUAAUACCGCAUACGUCCUACGGGAGAAAGCAGGGGACCUUCGGGCCUUGCGCUAUCAGAUGAGCCUAGGUCGGAUUAGCUAGUUGGUGAGGUAAUGGCUCACCAAGGCGACGAUCCGUAACUGGUCUGAGAGGAUGAUCAGUCACACUGGAACUGAGACACGGUCCAGACUCCUACGGGAGGCAGCAGUGGGGAAUAUUGGACAAUGGGCGAAAGCCUGAUCCAGCCAUGCCGCGUGUGUGAAGAAGGUCUUCGGAUUGUAAAGCACUUUAAGUUGGGAGGAAGGGCAUUUACCUAAUACGUGAGUGUUUUGACGUUACCGACAGAAUAAGCACCGGCUAACUCUGUGCCAGCAGCCGCGGUAAUACAGAGGGUGCAAGCGUUAAUCGGAAUUACUGGGCGUAAAGCGCGCGUAGGUGGUUUGUUAAGUUGGAUGUGAAAUCCCCGGGCUCAACCUGGGAACUGCAUCCAAAACUGGCAAGCUAGAGUAUGGUAGAGGGUGGUGGAAUUUCCUGUGUAGCGGUGAAAUGCGUAGAUAUA